UUUUUUGAACGUUUAUAAUAUUUGUUAAACAGAGGGCAGAAGUCGCGAGGGGACACGGAGGAGACGGUGGGGAUAGACCUCCACACGGGAAUGCACGCGGUGUACCAUCGGAUUGCCAAUCUUGUAAGUUAUAUGAAAUUUUUAAUUAUUAGAUAUAUUAAUGUUUUAAAUUUCUAAAUUUCCAAUUGUAUAUGUAAAUAUAGCGCAAGCGAAGAAUGUGAAUGUGCGUGGCAAAGGGAGAAACUUAAAUUUGUACGAUGAGUAUGAAAAAAACAAGUGUAAGCCUUUGGAAUUGCUAAUUGAUAUCUCCGGGCGGACGUAUCGAGUUAUAGGGGACAACGGGCAACUGUUUGUCAGACUGAUCUCAAAUCUGGUGGGAUCAAAGGUACCGUUGCAUUAUCAUACUUGGCGUCGUGUUCCUGCCAAGUACAAAGUUGAUUUAUAUCCCGAGCUAGAGGUAAAUAUA
rnacentral:lncRNA from 1 species